rnacentral:misc_RNA from 1 species
GGCCAACAGCGAAGAGGACCAAUCUCAGUACCACCAAAAAUACAAAGUCUUCCUACUUCGCCUCCACUUGCUGUGACACGCUCCCUUUCCUCUGCAUUUUCUUCAAGCCUGUGAUCUACAGUUAAUUCUGAAACAGCACCACCCUGAGUAUCCAAAAUGCAGCGUGAAUCUCCAACAGACGCAACUGUCACGGUCCAUCUAUCAACAAUCACAAAUGUAGCUGUAGUUCCAGAUGUUAGUCCUUUCUUCUGAAACUCCUUGUCAGUUUUCACAAACCCUACAACUAGUGCACGAGGCAAAGCUUGAAGCCACUCAUCCCUCCCCAGUCCACAAGGAAUGGCACCCAAAACAUGAUUUAGUAGAUGAUCCCUUGAGUACACUGCGGCUGCUGUUCCAUUAUGUCCAUCAAAGAUCGCAAACACAGAGAAGGCGGAUGAAGGAUUGCCAUGAAUUCUCUGGCAAUCUGUCGUCAUCAGAUAAUAAUCCUCACCUUUCUUAGACUGAGCUGCACAUCCGUAUCUUACAGUUGGCUUCUCCAUUUUUUCAUUCCGCAAUUCUCUGCUUAUCAGUGCUGCUAAUGGCACAAGAUCAUGAUCAGAUCUAUGCCUCUCUUGUCUUGACCCCAUUUUCGACCUACAAACUAUUCCAAGUUAAAUCUCCCAAAUUCCAACACGACGUUGAAACUUAUACCUUGUUAUAGUCGAAUCCAGAGAAUAUGAACCUCCCACGUUCUUCUUUUCUUUUAAUCCUGAGAUCACUUCUAUUUUUUCACAUCUCAGCUCAUCAGAAGAGCUCCACAAUAGUCAAUAAUAGAAUCCUUAAUCAGUCUAUUCGAUCCAACAAACAUUUACUCCCUGACAACCUCCCAAAGCUUCAAACUUGAACCCCAAAUACAGUCAUACACCACAUAAUCAACACGAAACUUCCAAAUUCAUUCCCGAAGUUUCAAACUUGAUCCCCAAAUUCAACCACAAAAACACAAACAAGUACAUAAACAACAUGAAACUUCAAGAACCUCCAAACUCCAUUCCCAAAUAACUCUCCGA